CCCCACUGAAUCUCCUCACCUA
rnacentral:siRNA from 1 species